UUCUAAUCCUAUAGAUCUAUGAUCUUCUGGGGGCGUUUAUAUUAUAUAUACCUACAUUAAAUAAUAUGCUGUGGUUUAUUUUCUGUAUUUUAUUUAUGCUUUCUAUAUAAAGGAUUUAUGAAAGUUGUCUAGGAAAUUUUAGGGAUAAAUUCAAAAGAAACUAGGGUAAAAUGUGUUAAAAAAAACGUAAGUGGAAACACUGCUUUGAAGUUUUCAAAAUUCCAGGGCCGUAAAACAAUCUCAAAAAAAAAAAAAAGUUUUCAAAAUGUCGUAACGAUUUAAUUUUUUAAAUCGUUUUUUUUUGGUCUUGGUGUGAGUUAUUUUACGUUGUAGUAUUAAUUUAGAGCAACUUUUAGCUUUAUGAGAAUAUUAGACGAUUAGACAUUGAGAAACUCUGUUUUGAAUUCUCUUUAGACAUAACUUGGCUCCAAUACUUUUUUCUUCGUUAGCGUUUCGUAAGCCUGUGUAACUAUUUUCAUUUCUUACAGAAAGUUUAUUAUUAAAAAUCAGCAUGCCUCGAAGAUCGAAAAUGAAAUGCUAUUUCGGAUGCCUUGAUAACGGUGAGUUUACACUAUUUUCCCGGUAUAUUAUUUGCUAACAGAAUUAUUAUUCAUAAUAUAAUUAAAUGAAUUAGCACCAACUAAUGGUCCUUCCUAUUUCUGCUGCCUAGCUAUCAUAUAUGUUAAGUUUUGAUCAAAACAGUCGGUAUUAAGUCUCGUACUAUCACACACACACCUCAGAUAAUAAAAUUGUCUCGAGUGGGUGGAAGUAUUUAUGUUUUGCAACUCAGCGUAUUAUAUGCUUAUUGUCAAGUGGGCCCGAACUAGUUUUUUGGAAUGAUCAAUCAGUCAUGCUUUCCUGUUUAAAUAAAAUACAGCACAAUUGAUCUCACAUCCAAAGUUAGAUGAUGGCAUUCACGUUUUGUUUCCUGGUGUUUGAUAACUAAGUUACACCAAGUGGCCUGUGACCACGUUCAUCCUUCUACCCAAUAUAAAAUAAUGUUUUUAUUUUUGUAGACAAAGGUUUGAUAAUGACAAAAUUUUAUGGAAAAAUUAUAAGGAGCACUAAAAUGUCUGAAACAUGAAAAGAUUGAUGCACUAUAUUUGAACCAGAACGUGUUAUGUAAUAUAUUAAUUUAAGAGAAACUGAUUCAGCAAGGAACGUGAACUCUCAAGGGAUCUUAAUUUUUUUUAAAUAUGUUUAUAAUUGAUAAAUUAAUAAUUGAAAUAGUUCAUAAGAACUAAAUUGAUGCCAAUUUUGUUUUAAAAUAGGUUGUUUAGUUCUUAUAGUUAUAGUAUUACGUUUGAAUAGUUGUAAUUAGUAAGUUAGUAAUAUAUGAAAAUACUGAUAUAAAUUUUUGUAAAUAACCUUUUGUAAAUUCUACGAGAAGAUGAUUUUAAUUAAUGAUCAAAAGUCAACGGUCUUUAAAAGCAUUAUUUGCAAUUAUUUAGAUUAACUGUGGAAUAUAUUUGCUAAGUUGUGUUUUCUGUAUGAGCAGAUAUAAAUGAAAAUGCCCAAACAUGAUUAUGUUUCUUACAUUUUCAUUAUGUGAAAUCAAUAUGCUUGUGACUGAGUAUAUUAAUAAUUUAUUAAAACUUAAGUGAUAGACAGCAACCCCUAUGGCACUGCUGAAGUUUAUAAGCACUGGUGACCACUUAUCAUGGGCCGGGUUGCGUGCUCGUCUGCUGUUGAGUGCAAUAAAAAUUUUCGAAACCCUUUCUAUUAUUUAGAUGUAAUAUUAGUGUACAUUUAAUUUGGAUUAAAAGAUAAAUUUACAUUUUAUGUUUGCAUGUGUAUGUUUAUAAUUCAUUUGCAUGUAACGAACACCAGUUUCUUUUGUAACAAAAUGUAAACUAAUGGUUUGUAAUGAAUGUAAUUAACUUUAAGAUGAUUUUCUUUCAAUCUGCUGUUUGUUUCAUCUAGUAUUACCAAAGCUAAAGCAUCAGAAACGUCAGAAUAGAAAUAAUUUAGAUAGGGAAUAAAAGUAUAACUAAUGUAAUCAUGUCUAAGAUUACUAUAAGCGUCAUUAAGUACAAACUAUCAAUAUUUAAGAGUACUUUAAAUCAUCAUUACAUUUUUUAAACAUUUUUUGUUUUUCAAAUCAUGUAAUAAAACGUUUGUGCAGAACAAAAUGUCACAUGUUAUGAACAUGAUUGUGGGUUAAUCGUUUCUUAAAUUUCUAAAUGUUUAUAAGAAUGCUAAGAAUAAUUUAGUAUUCACUUUAGUGUGUGUAUUAUCUCUACAAUGCUAGUUUAAAUGACAAUUAUUGUAUGACGAAGCAUAGGUAGUGUUUAUAGAUGUAAUAUUUUCAUACAAGGUCAUGAUCUGUCACGAUCAACUUUAAGCAAGAACUGCUAUCGUUAAGAAACAAAUUUAUUAAAUUUAAUUCAAAUUGUCUACUAUGUUUGUAAUGGAAAGCUGACAUGUUUAUAUUUCGCACAAAUGACUUAAUUGACAUUGAAUGAUUUGAUUAUCUAGACUUAAUUAACUUUUAGAUAACUUUCGAUUUAAUGUGUACGCUAGUAGGAUUAAUCUAGAGGAGUUAUUGUUAUUCGAAAUUUUAUACAAUUGUACGUUCAUACAAUCUUUUAACAGAAAUUUGUUUGUAAUAUAGGGAAAUUAAAUAGCUUACAGAGAA